CGGCGAAUUUUAAGAAGGUUUUGUUGGUUCAAUUGAGGAGACUGGUCGCCGACGGGAAGCUUGUUAAGGUCAAGGCGUCUUAUAAGUUAUCGGCGAAGAAAGCUCCGGCAGCAGCUGCCCCGGCGAAGAAGAAACCUGCUGCAAAGCCUAAGGCUUCCGGUAAGCCAAAGGCUGCAGCCAAGCCGAAGACAGCAGCGAAGAAAGCGCCGGCUAAGAAGAAACCCGCCGCCAAGCCCAAGGCAGCACCGAAACCCAAAGCGGCGGCAAAGCCGAAGGCAGCUGCUAAGCCCAAGCCCGUCGCAAAACCUAAGGCGACGGCUCCCUUAGCUGCGGCAAAGCCAGUUGCGAAACCGAAAGCCAAAACUCCAACGAAGCCUGCUAAGGUAGCUAAAACAUCGGCGAAAUCAACCCCAGGAAAGAAAGCUCCUGCCGCUCCGGCAACAAAAGCAUCAACC
rnacentral:lncRNA from 1 species